GGAGCUACAGGGCCUCGAGGGUGAAGUCUCACAACACCGCCACCUCCUCGUGUCCCUACCGCCAAGCUUCAUAAGCAGGAGGGACAGAAAAAUGAACAAGGAAACUGCCUAAGUCACUGCUUGCUGUUGCAGGCUUUAACAGAAGACAGGAGGCACCAGAGACUCUGACAGCCUCUGCUUUCUAUUCUCCAAAAAUCCCUAAAGCAGAGAAAUGCUAAGAACCCCAGGAUGUUGCUCAGGAUGGAAAGAGAAGGGAAGAGGAAAACCACAGAGAACAAGCAAACUGGAACGUCAAAGAGAAACAGCUUUCCUGGCCCUCAGAGUCUCUCACAGCUCCACGGCUUCCAAGAAGCCAUCCUUGAGAAUCAGUGCUACCACGAGAGAGCAACCUUCAGUGCUUCCACUACACGAGACCCUAUGGCUGUCGGAGGACCCUGGAGAGAACAAAGGCAGGGGUUCUCCAGUUAGCUGUUAUCCCGGCAUGCUGGGCGUCCCGCACUGGCACACGGGCCAGCCCCGCGGCUGCUUCCCUGGGCCUCACGGUGCAGGUAACAAACGAGCGCCGACGGUGGCUUGACUUUUUUCCUUGGAAGAUAUGCCAUGGCUCCUGGGGUCUUGAAGAUGGAGGACAGUGUUCCUCCUUCUCCCAGUACAGAAAAGCUGUAGAACUCUUUCCCAAGAACAACACGGACCAUUAUGAGAGCCCAGAAAUAAGAAAACCCCUUUGGUUUCAGCCCAAAUGAGUUAAAACCUAUCCAGCCCUAUUACUAGCUACACCAUCAUUUUCUCCCGUCCUACCCUCCUUUUGCUAAACAGAACCUGUUAAGUAUGGCUCACAGAGGAUGUGACAAUACUAG